GACGUAGGGGGCGAGCGUUGUCCGGAUUUAUUGGGCGUAAAGAGCUCGUAGGCGGCUCAGUAAGUCAGGUGUGAAACCUCCAGGCUCAACCUGGAGACGCCACCUGAUACUGCUGUGGCUAGAGUCCGGUAGGGGAGCGUGGAAUUCCUGGUGUAGCGGUGAAAUGCGCAGAUAUCAGGAGGAACACCAGCGGCGAAGGCGGCGCUCUGGGCCGGAACUGACGCUGAGGAGCGAAAGCGUGGGUAGCAAACAGG
rnacentral:rRNA from 1 species